UGCCAGCCGCCGCGGUAAUACGGAGGGUCCAAGCGUUAUCCGGAUUUAUUGGGUUUAAAGGGUACGUAGGCGGAUUAGUAAGUUAGGGGUGAAAUCCCGGGGCUCAACCCCGGAACUGCCUCUAAUACUGCUAGUCUUGAGUUCGAGAGAGGUGAGUGGAAUUCCGAGUGUAGAGGUGAGAUUCGUAGAUAUUCGGAGGAACACCAGUGGCGAAGGCGGCUCACUGGCUCGAUACUGACGCUGAGGUGCGAAAGCGUGGGGAGCAAACAGGAUUAGAUA
rnacentral:rRNA from 1 species